GACGAACGCUGGCGGCGUGCUUAACACAUGCAAGUCGAACGGUGAAGCUCCAGCUUGCUGGAGUGGAUCAGUGGCGAACGGGUGAGUAACACGUGAGCAACCUGCCCCUGACUCUGGAAUAAGCGCUGGAAACGGCGUCUAAUACUGGAUACGAGAAGGGUCCGCAUGGGCACUUUCUGGAAAGUUUUUCGGUUGGGGAUGGGCUCGCGGCCUAUCAGCUUGUUGGUGAGGUAAUGGCUCACCAAGGCGACGACAGGUAGCCGGCCUGAGAGGGCGACCGGCCACACUGGGACUGAGACACGGCCCAGACUCCUACGGGAGGCAGCAGUGGGGAAUAUUGCACAAUGGGCGAAAGCCUGAUGCAGCGACGCCGCGUGAGGGAUGACGGCCUUCGGGUUGUAAACCUCUUUCAGCAGGGAAGAAGCGAAAGUGACGGUACCUGCAGAAGAAGCACCGGCUAACUACGUG
rnacentral:rRNA from 1 species